CACGUAGGGGGCGAGCGUUGUCCGGAUUUAUUGGGCGUAAAGAGCUCGUAGGCGGUUUAGUAAGUCGGGUGUGAAACCUUCAGGCUCAACCUGGAGACGCCACCCGAUACUGCUAUAGCUAGAGUCCGGUAGGGGAGCGUGGAAUUCCUGGUGUAGCGGUGAAAUGCGCAGAUAUCAGGAGGAACACCAGCGGCGAAGGCGGUGCUCUGGGCCGGAACUGAUGCUGAGGAGCGAAAGCGUGGGGAGCAAACAGG
rnacentral:rRNA from 1 species